ACCUGCUGAAGGAUCAUUC
rnacentral:rRNA from 1 species